AGAAACACAUAUCAGUCAAAUGCUCCCGAAGGUGCACAAUAAAUUGGUGAUCCCGUGGGACACCUACAAGGUAAACAUCCCAAUACAACCUAACAAUUUAUCCCCUCAUUCCAUUCAACCCAUCUUUCAGUUACUUCAAAUCACAAAGUCCUUUCUUUCAACAUCCUAACAGUCAACUUAUUUUACUACAAUCAUCUGUCUGUCAAUAAUAUGCUAAUACAUCAGUCAAUCCACUAUACAGUCAAGUCAAUACACCCCUCAGUUCACCAGCACAAACCACAGUUCAGUAUAAUCCACAUCCAACCGAAACAAAUUCACUAGUUCACAUCCAAUCUUUAUACAGCACAAUCUAUUAAUAUCAUCAUGCAUACAUAAGCAUAAUUUCAAUCAUUCACAUGUAUACUUUCGGCAAUCCACAUCAAUUCACACAUCAAUGUGUAUAUAUGUGUUUCCAGUCAAAUACAACAUACACUAAACAUUUAGUCUGCAAUCAAACAUAUACAUCUUAAUCAUCAUCCAUACAGUCCAACACAACUCAAAAACUUUAGGUGAGUCCAGUAGAAAAUCCCUUACCUCAAAGUUGGGGAAGCUCCUUAAUCAACUAACGUCCUCCAAACAAUCCUAAGCACAACAACACAAAAUUCAAUUACUUCCACGAUACAUAUCUCACUUACUUUCCUCAACGUAAGUUCCAACUCACCGAUAUAUUGGCGAACUGAACCCUCAACAAUUCACAAAUUGGUUGUGAAUUUAAGGGAGCCCAACGUUACUCCCAACACCUUCAAGAACCAAUUAACAAAUUAGCUAAACAUUCCAACCAUAACACUUGAACCACUUUGAAACCAAUUACCAUUCAUACUUAAGUUGUUACCAACAAAGCAACCUCGAUAAAAUUGUAAAACAGAGACAGCAGCACACCUCAACGCACGACUGUCGGACUCGCAGCAAAAAUCCUAAGUGUGGGUCGGUCAGCGGUCGGCCAAAGGAGACGUGGCGGCUGCCUCAAAAUCGAUCAACGAUCUGACGCGGUCGGAGAGUCGCGCGGCAGUGCAGAAAACAGAGGAGAACGGAAUGGGCGGCGGCUCGAAACAGAGGUUGCGCGGCAGGGCUUCACGAAGACAGAACCGGCGGAGACGGUUGCAGAACCGUGGCUUCGACGGAGACAGAACCGGCUGAGACGGCUGGGCAGCGGCGGAAGAGCAACGACGCCGCAGAUCUGGACCGGACAGUUACGCGGCGGCUGCUGCAAGGCUGCUUCGCGAACGGAGAUGAAGAACGGUUACGCGGCGGCUGCUGCAAGACUGCUUCGCGAACGGAGAUGAAGAACGAAAUGGAGGUCGCGGCGCUCAGCUUCAGUAGGGGAGACGCGGCGACCGACGGCUGCUGCGAACGGAAGAAGAAGAGGAAUGGAUGGCGGUUGCUGCGCUGCGAACGGGGAGAAGGGGAAGGGCGCACGGGAGGAAGAAGAAAAAGAAAAAAAAAGUUUUCUUUUUCUUUUCUCUUAUUUAAUAAAACAUAAAAUAAAUAUAUUAAUAAAAUAUAAUUAAAUACAUAUAUAUAUUUAAUUAUAUUAAUACAUUUCACAUCUUCUUUCUCUCAAAAUAAUUUACCUUCAAGUUUGGGGCGUUACAUUCUUCCCCCCUUAAGAAACUUUCGUCCUCGAAAGUUCUAAUCCUGAAAUAACUCUGGAUAACGAGUCCUCAUCUCUUCCUCUCGCUCCCAUGUCGCCUCUUCAAUUCGAUGAUUCCGCCACAAAACCUUUACUAAUGGAAUGCUUCUAUUACGAAGCAUCUUUACCUCUCUAGCCAGAAUCUCCACAGGUUGUUCUACAUAGCUCAAAUGCUCAUCAAUCUCCAAGGGUUCAUAGUCUACUACAUGAGAUGUAUCGGCCACAUAUUUCCUCAACAUCGAAACAUGGAAAACAUUAUGAACUGCAGAGAGAGAUGGUGGUAAUGCCAAGCGAUACGCCAUAACACCAACCUUCUCUAAGAUCUCAAAUGGUCCAACAAAUCGAGGACUUAACUUCCCUUUCUUCUCAAAACGCAUAACACCCUUCAUAGGUGCUACCUUCAAGAAUACCUUUUCUCCCACAUCAAACUUAAGGUCUUUUCGCCGUACAUCUGCAUAACUCUUCUGUCUACUCUGCGCUGUUUGCAUACGUGCUCUAAUCUUUUGAAUAGCCUCAUUAGUAGACCGAACUAAUUCAGGUCCCAUCAAUCUAUGUUCACCAACCUCACUCCAACAAACAGGGGUUCUACAACAUUUGCCAUACAAAGCUUCAAAUGGCGCCAUACCGAUGGUAGCCUGGAAACUGUUGUUAUAAGCAAACUCCAUUAAAUGUAGAUGAGAGUCCCAACUACCUGGAAACUCUAGAACACAAGCUCGUAGCAUAUCCUCUAAAACUUGGUUCAAACGUUCAGUUUGACCAUCAGUCUGUGGAUGAAAGGCUGUACUAAAAUCCAAUCUCGUACCCAUAGCAGUCUGAAGUCCCUUCCAAAACUUGGAAGUAAACCGUGCAUCCCUAUCAGAAACAAUCGAUACAGGCACUCCAUGCAGUCUCACAAUCUCAGUUAAAUACAACUCUGCCCACUUACUAGCAGUAUAAGUGGAUUUUCCUGGUACAAAAUGUGCCGAUUUCGUAAGCCUGUCCAUGACAACCAAAAUCACUGUGAAACCCUUCAGGGUCUUAGGCAGCCCUGAAAUAAAAUCCAUCGACACAUUCUCCCACUUCCACUCUGGCACACUUAAGGGUUGUAACAAACCUGCUGGUUUCUGUCUAGGUGCCUUAACCUGCUAGCACACCAAGCACUUACUAACAAUAUCUUCCAUUUCUCUCUUCAUAUUACGCUAGUAACAAACUCUUUUCAGAUCCGGAUACAUUUUUGUGCUACUUGGAUGCAUGAGAAAUGGGAAACUAUGAGUCUCAACCAAUAACCUUGUCUUAAUUGCAUUUUCUGUUGGCACACAUAAUUCUCUCUCAAACAUAAGUUCAUCAUCAAAGGAUAUGGAAAACUCCUUAACUUGCCCUACUUCUACUAGGCGAUUCUUCUCAAUCAAAUAAGGAUCAAUUAAUUGAACCACAAGAAUUCUUUGUCUCAAGAUCAGAUGUACUGACAACUGAGCUAACUGUGAGGUGACUUCCCCCACUAAAACUACAAUCUCAGCUCUCUCGUGGUUUUUGUCUAAUGAAACCUGUCUGGUAAUAAGUGCUGUCAAAAUGUGAUACUUUUCUAUGAAGAGCACCAACUUCCACAUUCGCCUUACCUAGAUGGUACAAAAUCUCACAAUCAUAGUCAUUUACUAACUGAAACCAUCUUUGCUAUCUCAUACUCAACUUCUUUUGAGUGAAGAAGUAUUUUAUACUCUUUUGGUUAGAAAAUAUCUAUAUCUUUUCAUCAUACAUAUAGUGCCUUCAAAUCAUUAAUGUAAAAACCACAACUGUCAAUUCCAUAUCAUAAGUUGGACAAUUUUCCUCACGAGGAGUACAAGCAACUACUUUAACUUGUUGAAUAAGAAUACCUUUUAAACUUUCCUAAAAGCAUCACUAUAAAUUACGGAACAUUCUGAACCAUCAUGUACGGUAAGCACGGGAGUUGUACAAGCUUCUGCUUAAGAUCCUGAACAUUAUCCUCAUAGGCUUUGUCCCAAACAAACGGAGUCCCUUUUCUUAGUUAACUGAGUCAAAGGAGUAGCUAUACGAGAAAAUUCUUAUACAAACCGUUAGUAAUAACCUGCUGAACCCAAAAAGACUACGAACCUCACUGACUAUGAAAGGUUGAGGCCACCUGGUAACGACUUCAAUCUUUUAUGAGAUCCACAUAAAUGUCAUCUCUAGAUACCACAUGGCUUGGAAAGAUACUUGGCCUCAUCCAAAACUCACAUUUUGAAAACUUUGCAUACAAUUUGUUGACUCGAAGAGCCUCUAAAACCAUGUUAAAUGCUCCUCAUGCGCUGUCUCUAUUUUGGAAUAAAUUAAGAUAUCGUCAAUAAAUACAAUCACGAAAGUGUCUAAGAGAUUGUUAAACACUUUGUUCAUCAAGUCGUAAACAUUGUUUGAGCAUUUGCCAACUCAAAAGACAUCAUAAUGAACUCAUGAUAUCCAUAUCUCGAACGAAAAUCUGCCUUAGGAAUGUCACUGUUCUCUAAUCCUCAACAAGUCAUAACCUGAAUGUAAUUCAAUCUUAAAGAACACGGACUUAUUGCAGUUGAUCAAACAAAUCCUCAUUCAUUAGUAAAAGAUAUUUAUUCUUAACCGACACCUUAUUCAACUUUCUACAAUCAAAACAUAAGUGCAUCGACCCAUCUUUCUUCUUAAUAAACAAAAAUUGGUGCACCCCAAGAUAACAUACUUCGUCGAAUGUAGUCCUUGUUAAACAUUUCUUUCAAUUGCACCUUCAAAUCUUUCAACUCUGUUGGGGCCAUUUUGUAUGAAGCUUUAGAUAUAGGAACGAGUCUAACUCUAUCUCAAUAGCAAGACCAAUUUCUGUUUAGCGCGGUAAUCUUAGAAACUCUUCUAGAAAAAUAUCAUAAUACUUUUUCACCACUAAUUCAAAUAACAAAGAAACAUCGACUUCUCUGGUGUCUACCACACUAGUCAAAUACAACAGGUACCCUGGUCAAGCAACUUACUAACCUUCAUAGUUGGGAUAACUUUUAGCGAAACGAUAGUUCCAACCUCUUUGUACUUGAAAUUAGCCUCUGGAGAAGGAUUAGAAACUACAUUUUCGCUGAACAUUUUAUGUUUACAUGGUUAAACUACAUUCCAAUUUUCAAACUCCAAACUAGUAACUUUUCAUUCACGAGAAACUCAAAAUUGUUUCUUAAAGUCACAUCAAGACAACCAUGCUCAUCUUCCUUGUUUCUUUUCCAAUACCUCCAUUCUAAAACCAUUUAAUGUGUUUCGUAUAAACUUGACCGUGUAUUUAGUCCUCUUUAAAACCACCUACAUAACUUAUUUUUCUUAGAUUUCCAAUCACAAAACAGACAAUUUCGCUAACAACGUCUUACUUUUCUACUACUCGACCACCCCUUUGAACACCUCUACAUGGCAACAUUUUUUCCUAAAUUUCACCAUUAAAUCCUUCACCAUUAAAUCAUAACAUUCAUGUAAUUCUAGUUUAACUUAGGCAAGGUCAUAUACAUAAACCAUACAUAUAAGCAUAAAGCAUACCUGACGAGAGACGAAGGUCGCGUUAGCCAUAGGAACACAAAAACAUAGACUUACAUCGUAAGUCAGUCUACAGAACCUAAAACUUAGGCUCUGAUACCAACUGUAACGACCCAACUUUUCUGGGUAAGUCGAGGUCGUUAAUUUUUGACAAAAGACUUUGGUUGAUACAAAUUGAAACAUAAGUCAAUUUAAAAACAAAACAUGUUAGGCCUGAUUUUCAAAUAUUCAAGAAAACUUAACAAUAACACUAUUUACAAAUAAAAGUUUGUAAACUAAGUUUUAGUACAUCUUAAACCUUAAAAGAAAUCAUAAGCGGAAGAAAAAUAACACAUUCCCUAUGGCAAUCACGCUUCCUUCCUGCCCCUCGUCAGUUUGCCACCUUUAUUUCCUUUGCCUGAAAAUUAAAUAUAAGAAGGGUGAGUAUAACAAUACUCAGUAAGAGACCCUCUACUGGUCUCGUCAGGGGAAAAUAAAUUGUUAAAGUUCUAUUGGGACACCCUGUACAGUCGCAGUCUUGUGAUCCCGUAGGAUACACAUUUCAGUCUAACGCCCCGAAGGACGUACAUAUCAGUCUAACGCCCCGAGGGACGUACAUAUCAGUCUAACGCCUCGAGGGACGUACAUAUCAGUCUAGUGUUCUGCAGAAACACAUAUCAGUCAAAUGCUCCCGAAGGUGCACAAUAAAUUGGUGAUCCCGUGGGACACCUACAAGGUAAACAUCCCAAUACAACCUAACAAUUUAUCCCCUCAUUCCAUUCAACCCAUCUUUCAGUUACUUCAAAUCACAAAGUCCUUUCUUUCAACAUCCUAACAGUCAACUUAUUUUACUACAAUCAUCUGUCUAUCAAUAAUAUGCUAAUACAUCAGUCAAUCCACUAUACAGUCAAGUCAAUACACCCCUCAGUUCACCAGCACAAACCACAGUUCAGUAUAAUCCACAUCCAACCGAAACAAAUUCACUAGUUCACAUCCAAUCUUUAUACAGCACAAUCUAUUAAUAUCAUCAUGUACACAUAAGCAUAAUUUCAAUCAUUCACAUGUAUACUUUCGGCAAUCCACAUCAAUUCACACAUCAAUGUGUAUAUAUGUGUUUCCAGUCAAAUACAACAUACACUAAACAUUUAGUCUGCAAUCAAACAUAUACAUCUUAAUCAUCAUCCAUACAGUCCAACACAACUCAAAAA
rnacentral:lncRNA from 1 species